AGAGUUUGAUCCUGGCUCAGAACGAACGCUGGCGGCGUGGAUCAGACAUGCAAGUCGAACGAGGUUAAUUUGGUAGCAAUACUAGGUUAGCUUAGUGGCGAACGGGUGCGUAACACGUGACCAACCUGCCUAGAAGUGGGGGAUAGCUCGGCGAAAGCCGGAUUAAUACCGCAUGUGAUCGCAAGAUUAAAGCAGCAAUGCGCUUUUAGAGGGGGUCGCGGCCUAUCAGCUAGUUGGUGAGGUAACGGCUUACCAAGGCAGCGACGGGUAGCUGGUCUGAGAGGACGACCAGCCACACUGGAACUGAGACACGGUCCAGACACCUACGGGUGGCAGCAGUCGAGAAUUUUUCUCAAUGGGGGAAACCCUGAAGGAGCGACGCCGCGUGGAGGAUGAAGGCUUUCGGGUUGUAAACUCCUGUCAUCUGGGAACAAAACUCGCAAGAGCUUGAUAGUACCAGAAGAGGAAGAGACGGCUAACUCUGUGCCAGCAGCCGCGGUAAUACAGAGGUCUCAAGCGUUGUUCGGAUUCAUUGGGCGUAAAGGGCGCGUAGGCGGUGGGGUAAGUCUGGUGUGAAAUCUCGGAGCUCAACUUCGAAAUUGCACUGGAUACUGCUCUGCUAGAGGGCUGGAGAGGAGAUCGGAAUUCACGGUGUAGCAGUGAAAUGCGUAGAUAUCGUGAGGAAGACCAGUGGCGAAGGCGGAUCUCUGGACAGCUCCUGACGCUGAGGCGCGAAGGCUAGGGGAGCAAACGGGAUUAGAUACCCCCGUAGUCC
rnacentral:rRNA from 1 species